rnacentral:rRNA from 1 species
AACGCGAAGAACCUUACCCGGGCUUGAACUACGGAUGGUAAGUCCCUAGAAACAGGGGCUGACCCGCAAGGGAGUCCGCAGAGGUGCUGCAUGGUUGUCGUCAGCUCGUGUCGUGAGAUGUUGGGUUAAGUCCCGCAACGAGCGCAACCCCUACUCGAUGUUGCUAAUCCCGCAAGGGAUGCACUCUUCGAGAACUGCCUUCGAUAAGAAGGAGGAAGGUGGGGACGACGUCAAAUCCUCAUGGCCCUUAUGUCCGGGGCUACACACGUGUUACAAUGGCCGGUACAAUGGGAAGCAAUGCCGCAAGGUGGAGCCAAACCCACAAAGCCGGCCCCAGUUCAGAUUGUGGGCUGCAACUCGCCCACAUGAAGGCGGAAUCGCUAGUAAUCGCUGAUCAGCAGGCAGCGGUGAAUACGUUCCCGGGCCUUGUA